rnacentral:lncRNA from 1 species
CACAGUUUGCUCCACAUUUCAGUGGCAGCUCUGAUGCAAUGCAAAGGUCAGAGGGCAAGACACACAUUGUAUGCAAACAGGAAAAUAAUUUCUUCUGGGAUCUGCUAAUAUACGGACAAAGGAGAGAAGCAUGUCAUCUGCUGUACAAGCCAAGGCAAACCCAGCUUCGUUCCAUGCAUCAGAGGGUUGAAUCAGAAAGAAAAGGAUUAAAGUUGCUCAAGGAGAGAGAAAAAGAAAGAACAAACUGCCUGAAAUCCAGCACUAUUCAUGUAUGCAGCAUGGAUUGUUUUAAAAUGCUGUUUUUCUUCAAACAUCACUUUCAUAAGGCCAAUUCUAAAUGGAUUGAGAUGACACUAAGAGGUUUGGCAUCAGAGCAUAAAACUGGAAGAGAUUUCCUGGGCUGUUGUGUUCCAUGUCCUAGUCAGUUAUAUCAAAGAGUAACCCUUUCACAUCCAUCUUGAAACCAGUGCAACAGGAGAUGCCUAUGAGAGAACGCUCAAGUCACUGGAAUGGACAGCAGUCACCAUUUUCUUGGUUAGGAAAGGGAAGCUUUAAGGAAGUUUGGGAAAAGCAGAAGGAAAAAAAAAAAACAACAAAACAUGUAUACAAUACAGUAAUUUGCAAUGGAACAAAAAGUGUCAGUCUGGUUGUUAUUUCCGGGAAAUAAAUUUUUGGCUUAGUGGCAAGGCCACUAGGAAAUCCCAUAGAAGUGUUAGACCAUGAACAUAUUUGGUAACUGUUCUUGAAAGGAAACCCUAAAGGCAAACAACUUGUUUUGUGAAUACCCUAUGAAAUUGGAGAGAACCUCAAAUAGCCCCUGCAGUUCCGGAAAUAUUGGAGGAUACAGAUGUUGCGUGAAUAAAUUGGUUGAGUGCCUGGAAGGAGAAUGAUCCUGAUUCUUGAAUGAGACAAUCCACUUGAUAGAAAAAUAAAUAAUUGUGAGGAAGAAUGUUAAGAAAGUAUGUCUGCUUUCAUACUGAGGCCAGGAAAGACUUUCUUGUGUGUGUGUUUACGUCUUACUUUAAAGGAUUCCAUUCUCAUGUGUUGAUGUUAAAAUCAAGUACCAGACAAACCAAUGGCAAUUGAAAAAUAAUUUGAGAUAAUCAAACUCAUAAUCUUGAAACCAUAUCAUCAUGUGAUUCUUUUCUCAGAAGAAAGGAGGGCUUUUUUUAGGA